rnacentral:rRNA from 1 species
UACGUAGGGCGCAAGCGUUAUCCGGAAUUAUUGGGCGUAAAGAGCUCGUAGGCGGUUUGUCGCGUCUGCCGUGAAAGUCCGGGGCUCAACUCCGGAUCUGCGGUGGGUACAGGCAGACUAGAGUGAUGUAGGGGAGACUGGAAUUCCUGGUGUAGCGGUGAAAUGCGCAGAUAUCAGGAGGAACACCGUGUCGGAAGGCGGUCUCUGGGCAUUACUGACGCUGAGGAGC